rnacentral:piRNA from 1 species
UUCCAAGAUAUUAAUGACAUGCCACCCACC